rnacentral:rRNA from 1 species
GCGAUCCAGGAGACCUCUGAUCAGGAAAGUCUACCCGCUGAGUUUAAGCAUAUCACUAAGCGGAGGAGAAGAAACUAACCAGGAUUUCCCUAGUAACGGCGAGCGAACCGGAAAGAGCCCAGCUUGAAAAUCGGGGUGCUUCGUGCCCCGAAUUGUAGUCUGGAGAAGCGUCCUCUGCAGCGGGUCGGCCCCAAGUUCCCUGGAAUGGGAUGCCCAAGAGGGUGACAGCCCCGUCGAGGCCGGUCCCUGCUGCUCCACGAGGCGCGAUCUGCGAGUCGGGCUGUUUGGGAAUGCAGCCCUAAGUGGGUGGUAAAUUCCAUCUAAGGCUAAAUAUUGGCA